AAUAGAUACCCGGGUAGUCCACGCCGUAAACGAUGAGUGCUAAGUGUUAGGGGGUUUCCGCCCCUUAGUGCUGCAGCUAACGCAUUAAGCACUCCGCCUGGGGAGUACGGUCGCAAGACUGAAACUCAAAGGAAUUGACGGGGGCCCGCACAAGCGGUGGAGCAUGUGGUUUAAUUCGAAGCAACGCGAAGAACCUUACCAGGUCUUGACAUCCCAUUGACCGCUAUGGAGACAUAGCUUUCCCUUCGGGGACAGUGGUGACAGGUGGUGCAUGGUUGUCGUCAGCUCGUGUCGUGAGAUGUUGGGUUAAGUCCCGCAACGAGCGCAACCCUUGUUCUUAGUUGCCAUCAUUUAGUUGGGCACUCUAAGGAGACUGCCGGUGACAAACCGGAGGAAGGUGGGGAUGACGUCAAAUCAUCAUGCCCCCUAUGACCUGGGCUACACACGUGCUACAAUGGACGGUACAAACGGUUGCCAACCCGCGAGGGGGAGCUAAUCCGAUAAAACCGUUCUCAGUUCGGAUUGUAGGCUGCAACUCGCCUAC
rnacentral:rRNA from 1 species